CACCUUUACUAACGUCCUAUUUUAUUUCUUUAGGUGUCUGAACACACACAGUUAAGUUGGAUCCUUUCCUGCAUGGUCAGACUACCUCGAUUACAACAUUUACAUCAGUGGAAGGCAAAGACUACCAAGCAGAAGCACGAUGGCACAGGGGGCCUGCUCACAUACCCAGUACUCCAGGCGGCCGACAUUCUGUUGUACAAGUAAGAAGAGAGUUCACCCUGGUCUUGUACAUACUCAUGGUGACAAGAGAGUGUUUUAACCUGUUCAAUACAGACUUGGUUCAUGGGCAGGGGGAAAUGCAGAAAGGGUCAGACAUCUGAAUCAGUUUAUAUCUAUUCCCCAGAAAUAGGUACUACAUUAUAGAAGUAUGUUUCUGUGAGAAACUAAUAAUAUUAAGAGCUAACAUUUAAAUAGCACUUACAACGUGUUGGAAACCAUUGUAAGUGCUUUACAUACAUCAUCCCUUACCACAACCUUCUAAAAUUUGCACUCUUAUUGUCCCAAUUUUACAGAUGGAGAAAUUGAGGGACAGAGUGGUUAAUAGCACGCCCAAAGUCAUAUAAUUAGCAAAGCUUGGAGCCAGGAUUUGAGUCCAUGAAGUUUGGAUACAGAGUCUGUUCUCAUAACCAGUAUGCCAUAUAUAUUUCCCCAGUGAUGAUUAAACUUCAAACAUUUUAAAUGUUGAUUUUUUUAUAUAUUCUAGACUCUAAAGCAAUGCUGUCCAAUAGAACUCUCUGUGUUUAUGGAAAUAUUCUAUGUCUGUGCUAGAUCCUGUAGCCAGUAGCCACAUGUGUGGCUGUUGAGCACCUGAAGUGUUGCUAGUGCCACAGAGGAACUGAACUUUACCUUCUAUUUAAUUUUAAUUAAAUUUAAGUAGCCACUGUGUUAGACCUACAGGUUGAGAGCAAGUUUUUAAAAUAUGAUAUAGGGUACUUAUACUUUUCCUGGACCCAUAACCCAUCCAGUCAGCUACUGCUGCCACUUAAAGUCCUAAAAAAAGUAUACACCUGAGGAUGCUGAUCCCUGCACUUGCUGUACUACUGGCCAGGGCUUCUGAUUUCAUCCCCCUCUCAAUUCUUCCAUGCUAACCCCUCAUCAGCCUCCUCUGACCCCCAUUUGGCCUUCUAGAGAUAAAGCCUCCCAAUUGGCAUGCACUUAGGGCCAUGCUACUGUGAAAGCUUCUGGGAAAAGAAGACACUUCACCAAUGUUUUUGCAUCCCUUACCCCUAAAGCUGUGAACUACAGUUCUUUGCAUGGAAAUCUGAUAACAGCAUGAAGACGACAGUAUCUAUGCUUCGUAGCAUGACUCCAGAGCCCUUGUGCAGUUAUGAUGGAAACAGCCAAAAGGGCAGCUGCUUAGCUCUACAAACAGGGAAAGUCCAUGAGUACAUGCAGCCUAUCUUCAAUUCUGAUGAAAACUUGCAAGGAUUAUUUGUCUGUUUGUUGUAUUAACUUGUAUGCUGGACUCUUUUAUUAUUUGUAAUUAGUAGCUUUUGACUUAUUUAAAAGGCUAGAACAAUAUUCUCCAAUAAGUAACAAAUGAAAGUAUAAUGAAAGUCUUAAUAAUACAUUUUCUAGAGAGGUAGGAUAUUUGCUUGAAAAGGUUCUGUGAAGAAACUUGAUUUUCUCACCUAUAAAAUGGGAAUAAUUAUUAAGCACAGGAUUAUUAGAGGAUUAAAAUGAAAUAUAGGCCAGGCAGUACUCUGACUAGGAGCUGUUACUUGGUUAUGACUAAUGAUGACUAUGUCUUUGAUGAUUACAAUGUUGUCUAAUUUUGUUUCAAGACCUACUUCUUUAUAGAACCGAAGGCUAGCCAGGCAUCGUGUUGCAUGCCUGAAGUUCCAACUGCUUGGAAGGCUGAGGUGGGAGGAUCACUUGAGCCCAGCCGGGGCAAAAUAGUGAAACCUUGGCUCCAGAAACAAAAACAAAAAACAAAAGCUGAGAAUUGUCAGCACUAGAAUAAGAAAACACAUGAGCAUGGUAGGUUUCCUUAACAGUUGAAGAGCUGUAAUGGGAGAGUCCUCUGAGCUUAGGGCUAUGGAAAAGCGUAAACUUUAACAAGAAUGACUGCACUUUUAAUGAUACCGUGAAGCAAAGGAUGGAAAGGAGCUUUAAGGAGCCUCUUCUUUAAUUCCAUUGCUUUACAAGUGCAGCCCAAUGUGGUUUAACAACUUGCCCGAAGUUGUGUAGCCAGUUAGUCGACUUUGGAACAUCUGGGCAAGACUAUGGGUCUACAGCAUUUUUUCUGCUAAUGUACAUUUUGUAUUUGUCUCAUUAUGUUUCUUCUCAAGUUUAGAAGCUCCUAAUUGCUUGAUAAUAAGUAGCAGAGUCAGGACUCAAACUCAGGUUUGAUUUUUAGGCUCUAUCGUUGUUUUCCCUAUAACAGAGAUGAAGCACUUGAGGGUAUUUUUAUUUGUUUUUAUUUUGCUUUGUUCCAGACAUUUCUGGAUUUUGAAAAAGAUCAUUGCCAGAAUGUCUCUGAAUAUUUGUAUUAUAAAUGUAGAUAGGUAGGAUGGUAGAAUGAAGGGUGGAUAAAACAUCUGUGUUUUUUUCCCUACCAACAAAUCUACACGUAACCUCUUCAUAAAAUUUUGAUGCAAGCCAAAUAUUAGUGUUUCCUUUUAUCAAAAUCAUCAUCAGAAUGAGUGGCAUGGUGGGUCAGAGAACAAACAUAAUAGAAAGGAAUGGAAGAGGAGCCAUUCAGAUAAGUUUAUAAAAGAUUUAUGUAAAUGUUUUGGCGGAACUCGGUAAGGAACCCAGGAAUGGACAGCUGAGACCAUCUUUAACUGGAGAGUAUGAUAAGCACAAGAAAUUUGAAUACAGACAAAAUAUUCCAAUGCUCAAAAAUAGCAAGUAUUCAUAGUUUUUAUUCUGCAUCUGUAUUAUUUUUCCAAAUGCCUAAUUUCAAAUAGCUGGCUAUAUAUUAAAUAAAUAUUUCUUUCUCCUCUUUCUCUCUGUAUAUGUCUCUCUCUCUUUCUCUCUCUCUAUGUAUAUGUGUUUUUUAUAUAUAUAUGUGUGUAUAUAUAUGCAUACACACACACAUACACAUAAAGGCACACACAUAUAAUUUUUAUUAAUAAACAACAAAUAGUUGCUAAGUACCUACAAUGCCACUGAUCCGGGAAAAGGCACUAUACAUGGCCUUGAGGGAAAGGAAAGGAAGGACUUUACAUGUGUUGAGCAUUAUUUGCCAGUCAUCUACUAACUGCUACACACUCAUUAUCUGUU